rnacentral:rRNA from 1 species
AUGAACGCUGGCGGCGUGCCUAAUACAUGCAAGUCGAACGCUGGAGAUCUAGCUUGCUAGAUCGAAGGAGUGGCGAACGGGUGAGUAAUACAUAAGCAACCUACCCACGAAGACUGGGAUAAUCUCUGGAAACGGGGACUAAUACCGGAUAGGUAAUCGGAAGGCAUCUUCUGGUUAUUAAAGGUUAAAAACACUGGUGGAUGGGCUUAUGGCGCAUUAGUUAGUUGGUGAGGUAACGGCCCACCAAGGCGAUGAUGCGUAGCCGGCCUGAGAGGGUGAAAGGCCACAUUGGGACUGAGACACGGCCCAGACUCCUACGGGAGGCAGCAGUAGGGAAUUUUCGGCAAUGGGGGCAACCCUGACCGAGCAACGCCGCGUGAGUGAAGACGGCCUUCGGGUUGUAAAGCUCUGUUGUAAGGGAAGAACGGUAGAUAGAGAAUAUCUAAGUGACGGUACCUUACCAGAAAGCCACGGCUAACUACGUG